rnacentral:lncRNA from 1 species
GGAAAUUCCCGCCUAAUAAAUUUUGGUCAGACUGGUUUUCUGCUCUCAAACCCUCUCUCCUGAUAAGAUGUUAUCAGUAACAAUGCGUGCCCGAAACUUCAUUAGCAAUUUUAAUUUCACCCCGGUCCUGUGGUCCUGUGAUCUCGCCUGCCUCAAUUUGCCUUGUGAUAUCUUAUUACCUUGUGAAGCUUGUGAUCUCUGUGACCCACACCCUAUUCAUACACUCCCUCCCCUUUUGAAAAUCACUAAUAAAAACUUGCUGGUUUUGCAGCUUGGGGGGCAUCACAGAACCUGCCGACAUGUGAUGUCUUCCCCCCGGACACCUAGCUUUAAAAUUUCUCUCUUUUGUACUCUGUCCCUUUAUUUCUCAGACCGGCCAACACUUAGGGAAAAUAGAAAAGAACCUAUGGGAAAUAUCGGGGGUGAAUUUCACCUGAUACUAUGGUUUAAAUAUGUCCCCCAAAUUUUGUAUGUUGGAAACCUAAUCCUCAAAUUUGUAUGUUGAUGACAUUUUGAGGUAGGGUCUUUGGGAAGUAAUUAGGAUUAGACAUCAUCAUCAGGUUGGGGACCUUAUGAUGAGACUGGCAGCCUUUUAAGAAGAGAAAGAGAGACCUGAGCUGACAUACUUUUGUCCUCUCACCAUGCAAAUGCUUUCCACCAUGUUAUAACACAGCAAAAGGCCCUCACCACAUGCCAGUGCCAUGCUCCUGGACUUCCCAGCCUCCAGAAACAUGGGCUAAAUAAACCUCUAUUCUUUAUAAAUUAUGCAGUCUGUGAUAUUUAGUUAUAGUAAAAGAAAAUAAAAGAUAUUCAUGAAUGCUGAUUUCGGGCUUCAUCCCAAAUGCAAUGGGAAGCCACCCAUGAGUUCUAGGUAAAUAAGUGAUACUGUUAGGUAAAAUGGUCACUCUAGUACCAGUGAGGAGAGUGAAGAAAAGAAGGUAAAGUAGAAAGCUUCUAAGGUGGUCCAGGUGGUAAAUUAUGUCAUGAUUGAGGGUAGUGCAAGUCGGGGAGGAAAAGAACUAGGUAAAUUUUUAAGAGGUAGAAUGUCUGUCUGUCUGUUUGUUUGUUUGUUUGUUUGUUUGAGACAGAGUCUUGCUCUUUCACCCAGGCUGGAGUUCAGUGGCGCCAUCUCAGCUCACUGUAAGCUCUGCCUCCUGGGUUCACACUAUUCUCCUGCCUCAGCUUCCCGAGUAGCUGGGACUACAGGCGCCCGCCAUCACGCCCAGCUAAUUUUUUGUAUUUUUAGUAGAGAUGGGGUUUCACCAUGUUAGGCAGUAUGGUCUCGAUUUCCUGACCUUGUGAUCCGCCAGCCUCAGCCUCCCAAAGUACUGGGAUUACAGGCGUGAGCCACUGCACCCGGCCAAGAGCUAGAAUGUAAAGAACUUGAACUUGGAACUUAAUUAAAUGAGAGGUUUGAAAGAAAGGGAAGACUGCCAGUUUCAGUAGUUGUAUAGAUGGUGGUUCUAUUUACUUGGAAAGGGACACACUGGAAAGAGAGAGAGAGAGAGGGAGAGAGAGAGGGUGGGGAGAGAGAAAGAGAGAUAGAAUGGGAGAGAGACGAGGGAUGGGGAAAGUUAGGCAGAAAGAAUGGGAGAGAUCUGCUUUUAAAUGUAUGUUCUGCCACUUCCUUGUCAUGUGCAUACAGAAAAAUUAGAAAUUCUUGAGUCUUAAAUUCCUCAUCUGUAAAAGGAAGAUAAUAUUAGCUUUUAAAGUAGUGUUGAUGCUCAAUGAAAAUUAAAUAUUAAAUGUACGAUGACUAUCAUAAAAUGUUCAAUAAAUCAGACUUCUCACCUAUCCUCUACCUUGUCAGUCAUAAUUGUCAGAUUGUUACUUGAGGAAGUAUUGAAUAAUAAGCAUUCAAGCCUGGACAUGAGAAGAGGUAUACUUAUCAAUAAGUUGCUAUGUGACAUUGGGUGGGUGACCAUCUCCCUCUGUGUCUUCUUCUAUGUGGUGAGGAAAUCAGUCUGGAUGAUUUAGUGAGUCAAUGAUACUGCAGUCAGAAUGUCUACACGUCUCAGAGUAUCUCCCAAUAUCAGCAAUCCUCUGGAGAAUUAUCUCGUGGGCACAGGAUUGUGGGGAAUAUAAAAGGCACAGAGAAAUCUCCCAUUUCAGCUUCAGUCAGGAUGACAUGAGUUAUCUUCUCAGCAAGCAGCUUUCCUUUAUUGACGGCAGUGACAGGCCAAUUGCCCUGAUGUACGCACACUUCACUCUCCUUGUCAGACUGUAACGUGAGAGAUAUGUGUAUUGGUUUCUUAAAACCGACAGAUUCAUGAAAUGAGAGUGCCUGGGAGAGAAAACACAUGAAAAUGGAAAAUGCCACAAAGCUAUAUUUUCAGGACAGUACAGAGAAGCAAUAAUCUGUUUUUCAUUACAGACAAGAAUGUUUUCCUAGAUGGUGUAGGCAGACUUCAGUAUAGUAUUCUAGAAUGAGGGGGUUGGCCAAUGUACACUGUCCUGGUCAGACCACAAACUAGGGAUCAUGUCUGAGAGCUGUCGUGUGUGAAACCUCAGGCUCUGGAAUCAGAUGGUCAUGAGUUCAAAAUACGACACUAUUGUUUUCUAGCUAUGUAACUCUGGAAGGGUUGUUUAAUCUAAGCCUCAGUUUUGUCAUAUGAAAAUAGAGAUAAUAAUCAUAACACCUUCCCCAUAGGUUCUUUGUGAGGAUUAAAUAAGAGAGUGUAAGUAAGGGAAUUAGCAAACAAGUGUGAAAGAGACUGGCAAGGCCUGUUGCUGAUUUUGGACAACAAAAGAUUCAGGACCUUGUCCCUUGUGGAAUCAUUAUAUUAAUUUACUGAAGGUACUUGGCUGAGAGAAGAGCAUGCACAGAAUUUAUGAUUAUAGGAUUUAAAAGACUAAAGAGCUAUAUUGGGAAGAAAAAUAGGCUUGUGAAUAGGGUUCAACUACCAGAUGGAGAAUUGGAUUAGAUGGUUUUUAAUGUCCCUUUUGAUUCUGAGGUUCUGGGAUUUAAUUGAAAAUCUGUAAAUAAGUUGAUUUCUUUUCUCUUCCAUUUAGUUAUUAGAUGAGGAAUAUAUGCCAUUUUUGUCAGGUGUAUAAGGAUAAAUAAAUAGGUAAUAUAUGGUCUUGGCCCACAGUCUAGUCUGAUGUCUGAAAAAGCAGGAGGCAGAGACAGUCAAGAGACUUGGUUUCUAUUUUCAAAUCCACAUUCUAUUAUUAAUGUUUUGUGCAAGUCACUUAACUUUUUAGACCUUAGUUUCUCCCCCUAUAAAAUGGGGCUAAAAUUCACCCUAAAAUUUUACAGUUAUUUUGACACUCAAGUGAAAUAAUACAUGUGGGGGCACAUCAAAAUUUGAUAUAACAACAGAAGGUUAGGUGCUAAGUGGGACUUUUCUUAAUUUUCGCAAAAUUACUACCAAGACAUAAAGAUGAGAACAAAGAACUUUUAAGUGUCCCAUAUCCACAUUUUAAGGCAGAAACAUGCCACAUUUGGGACCCAACACCCUCCUAGGUGGGCUUACUGGGUCCACUAUCACCUUCUUUCCAAUUUCAUAGUAGAAGAGGACUGGGAGAAAGAAGGGGUGUCAUUUUUUAGGGAGGUGCUAACUUCUCCUUUCACCUCAUGAAAGUGUUGCUUUUUCCUACAAUACAGGGAAAAGAGACCCAGGAAAAGUGCUCAAAAAGUGUAAAGAUGCUCAGUUUGUGUCCCUGUCACUAAGCUAGGGAUUACUUCUCUCGGGGUUGCUUAGACAGUGAGUCAGCAGAGUGCCCAAUAUUGUCAGGGUUUGGAGAAAGAUAGGAGAGAGAUGGGGGAGCUGAAUGUCAAAAGGCCAUCAUCAUCAAAACCAUGUGGAUUUCCCUUCAUCAGAGAGUGGCUGAACUCCAGCUAUUUGACCGGCACCCUGAAGGCAGAUACUCAGUAAGCAGGGAUACUCCAGAAGCAAGAGACCAUGACUGAUGAUAUAGUUUGGAUGUUGUCCCACUCAAAUUUCAUAUUGAAAUGUAAUCCCCAAUGUUGAAGGUGGGUGUGGUGGGAGUGACUGGAUCAUGGGGGUAAAUUUCUCAUGAAUGGUUUAGUACUAUCCCCUUGGUACUGUCCUCAUGAUAAUGAGUUCUUGCAAGAUCUGGUCACUUAAAAGUAUGUAGCACUUCCCCAUUUGCUCUCUUGCUCCUGCUCUGACCAUGUGACAUACCUGCUCCCCCUUUGCCUUCUGCCAUGAUUGCAAAUUUCCUGAGACCUCUCUGGAAGCUGAACAGAUGCCAGCAUCAUUCUAGAUGUUCAUAGUCCCAUGCUGCAGAGACAUGUCAAUAUUUCAACUGCUUUCGCCCUUCACAUAAUGGGGUUUACAGUUAGUAUUCCUGCUGUUUUAUUUCUUGAUGGGCUGUGAUUUAGUGAUGACUCUGGGCAUCCUUUUUUAUUCAACUCUCUAAAAUCCCUUUUGGGAGAUCAUGCCUUUUCUGACCCCCUUUAUGGUAGCUGGGUUUGGCCUAGGGAUUGGGGAAUGAGAGACUUUCCCAUGUUCCAAAAAGAGACAAGCCUUGUGUUUGCUCCUUUUCCAUCCCUAAAUGCCCUGCCUCUGGCAGAAUUCCUGGAUUUUCCUGAGUUCAUACAGCACCUAAUAUAGUGAUUUGGAUACAACAGCUACUGAAUAAACUUUUACUGCAUAGCAAAAUAGGAAGUAACAAAGCCAGAUAUGUCUGGGUCCAAAGCUGCUCUCCUUUUUCCUUACAGGAUAUUGCAUUUGAGGAUACUGUGAGAGCUCUGUCAGAGGCUAUCAGAGAAGCUCCCUGCAUGACAGCAGAGUGGUCUAGACUGGACCCCAAGUCAGACCAGCCCAAAUGAGCAAGGUUUGCAGAAGGUGGUUUGUAUAAGAAGACCGAAACAGGGUGCAGCUCAGCGCUUGGGAAAGUUGCAAGGGGCUCUGAAGUGUGUUGUUUGAUUUACAUUUGUGGGGUUCCAUAAAUAGGCACUUCACAGAUGCAGACUCUCAAAAUUCUACCAAGAACCGCACAAUAUAGCUGACCACACUGGUCUGCACUUGAUAAGUGAGGAAAUAGAGGCUCAGAGAGCCAGAAUCACAUAUAUAAUUACUACCAGAGCUGGAAUUCCAAUUCAGGCUCAUCUAAUUUGAAAGCCCAUUCUCUUUACACCACACUUCACUAAGACCAAGUCAGCCCUGCCCCUGGGGAGAAAUUCCCUAAGCCUUUAGCAGAGAUCUUGAUAGUCCUAAUGUAUUAGCUUCUCUAAUACAUGUUUAUAAUUCUUGUUGUUGUUUGCUGCUGAUGUUGUUGGUUGUGUCUUAAGGGAAGGGCUAGGAGGGCUUACUGAGAACACUAUCACGUUCUUUCCAACUUUACAAUAGAAGAGGACUGUCUCAGAAGAGAAUCUGGGGCUCUUCUGGAUGUUGUGGGUUUCACCAUUGGAACUGAUGAUUCUCAUGCAAGAGAAGACCCUCCCUUCCACUGUGGGCACUAAACUGCAGUUCUCUAGACGUCUGGACAGGAAUUUCAGCACAUGCUGGAGGGCCGCUCCCACAGAACUUGUAUCUUUUACUUCAGCAGACUCCUGGCUGCCAGUUCUGUAUCUCUUUCUUUUUCUGGAACCACAGAAGAUCACAUUGUCCAAUGUGCCAGGCUAGAAAUACUAGGGGAUUAAGCUGCAGCUCCAUGUUGAGGUAACUGACUUAAUAGUACACCGUUUAGUGACUAUCUUCCUUCCUCUGUUUUUCUUCUUUUGUUUGUCUACCGUUGUCUGCAUGAACAAAAUAAUCCAUUUGUACCCAAAUAUUUAUAUCAGGCUCUACUUCUGGGAGGGCCAAAACUAAGACUAAGAGCCAUGGUUUCAUGUUUAACCAUGCGAUAAAACCUUGUUCUAUAAGAACAAUUGCUUUCAUUCUAGGGCCCCAUUCACAUAGCACGGAAAACAGUAACGAUGUAACUGUUCUGUAAUAUUUCUGUGCAGAGAAUAUGCAAAACAGUGUGGGCGAGGUUCUUUACCAAAACAAAACAGUGCAGACCAUGUGAUCUCUGGCUCUUUUACUGCAUAAUCUGGCUUUGGAGACAUUGCUACACAUUCAUGCUGAAUGUUCUUGCUCUCUCUCCUAUUUUCAUGCCACUGUGUCUUCAUGCAUAUCCCCACUUGGUUUUGACAAAUCUGGCCUCCUAAGCCUUAAAGCCAUUUCAUUAUUGCUGACACCAGUCCAUUGCUCAGACUCUAAUACCUCACUUUCUCUGGUUAUGUAGGGGAUUUUCUUAUGAUCCUGGAAGACAUCCUGGGAGAUAAAACCUCCGAAGUAUCUGGUUUCUAUUAGAAUCAAGUCUGUAGGAUUAGAAGUUUCUUAAUGCACAAUUAUAAAAUGCACAACACCAGAUGUAGUUGUCCAUAUCUUCUUUCAUAUUCCUCCUUUCCUAUUAUUGCUCAGCUAAAUGUUUCCAUGGGGAAGAAAAACACUUGAAUCUUAAAGUGAACUGUCAGCUGAUGUCCCUGAAGUACAUUCAUGAUAUUGUUCCCAAUGUCCACAUGUCUCUGGAGUCUGUAUCACAUCCUAGAAUCCAUUCUAUGCAACCUCAUUAACUGCAAAGGGCAUGGGACAAGUUAAAAGGGAUCCUGCCUGGCAGGUGAAGCAUGGUGUCUGUAAAACACGGUGAUGGCUACUAUGUCCAUUCAAGCUAGUGGGAUGUUUCAGAUGUAUCCUCUAAAGUGGAUAAACUAACAAUCCAGGUACUGGGAGUGUACCCAGGGGUUAUUCAGAAGUCCAGGCUAGCAGAUUACAUCAUAGAGUUGCAGAGGCUAGAAGGACUUUAGGGUUAGAGGUUGGGCUUGAGUCCUGGCAGCAGCUUAAUAAAAAGCAGUGGUUCUUCACCUGCAUCUGCAAAAGUGAAAUGAGGCCCAUGAAUGUCCUACAGUAUUAUAGAUAUUACAGAAAGAGAAUUACCACAAAACCACCCAGGCUACUAAUGACAACUUCCUUAUCUUUAUUUUGGAAAUGUGGCAGCUUAUCAUGCUCAUAUGUUCAGCAGAAACAUCAAAUAACAUUUACAUAACUUUUACUAGGAAAAAGCCAUGAUAAUGUAAUGAUAAACAUAAAUGCGGUUUAAGUAUUAUUUAUUCCUCCUGUAUCUCUCACUGGACAUAUGUUUCUCAAGGUCAAGUUUCUAUCUUAACUUUGCAUUCUCAGCACCCACCACAGGAAAUGUUAUGUAGUAGAUGCAGAUGAAAUACAGUAUUUGUUGAAUGAAAGUUAAACAAGAAACCAUUUGCAACCUCAGCACUUAACACAGUGUUCUAGUAGGCAAGCAUUUGUUGAAGGACUGAAUUAAGUAUACAAAAUAUUGCACAACAAAAGGACCUGGUUAGUAAAUAUAUUAAAAUGGAUUAUUAUAUAUGUUCUUAUGUCGCAUGAGCAGGAGUGGGACUAACCACCGGGAAACAAGGGAAGUGGAGUUUCAAUCUGAGGAAGAAUCUGUACAGUUACAGCUACUGAAUAGCAAAACAGAGAGGGGGCAGACACUUCUAUUUUCCCUAGCUCCCAAACGCUUCUCACCAUUAUCAUCCACUCACCACUACACUGAUUUCAAAUAUUUCACAGAGCAACCACUAAAUGGAAACAGAUAAUCACAGAUAAUCCUUAUUUUGCAAAUAUGGAAACAGAGAAAUUAAGCGAGCUGGCUCCUAUUGCUCUGUGAGGCUGAGAACUUGGAAUAAGUGUCAUCAUUGAUCAUUCCUCUUCCAGACCACCUAGUUUCUCAUUCAUGAUUAUAUUUCCCUAAAGGGUACACACUUGAGAGUACUUUUCGAAGACUUAGCUCCAAGGACAUUACUAACAUUAAUGUAAACUUCAUCAUAUAACCUGGGAAUAAAAAGCACAAUGGGAGAAAAUUAACUUCUGAGAGCUGGAGGUAAUAAGGAACAGUUGAAAGAGGGAGGAGACUAAAUUUUAUCCCCAGCUCUGGCAUUAACUAACUGUGGGGCAUUAUAGAUAAGUCCUAGAACCUCUCCAGACCUCAGUUUCCCCAUACCAAAAAUGAGGGAAUUGUGGAAGUUACUGUCUGUCAUAUGAUAUUGUGUGUCUCUUUAAGAUUCUGCAAAUUUAGGACACAUAAAAAUAUGAAGUCUUGGGAAUACUAUCCAAGAACCAUCAAGAGAGAAGGUAAGCCAAGUUCAUAAGACAAUUUAAUCCUCAGAAGCAAGACUCAGCCAAUAGCCAGACAGGCUGCGAUUCCCUUUGCUGUGUUUUCCUACUUUUGUGCCAAUCCCAAAAUGCUAAGUCAUUGCUUUUGCUAGAAGGAUAUUUUCUUAUUGCAUUCUGAGGAUUUGAACAAAUAUUUUCUUCUUGAGGAAAGCUUUCAGAACAUUUUCAAAUUGAAGGUUAGGCUUUCACGACAAAAGGAGCCUCCGCUCUGAAAAAUUUAACUCCCAGGUUUGGAUAGAUGCCGCACAUGGAAGAGAGAGAUCAGCAUCUGCUGGGCUACACUUUGUUUGACAUAGCCCUUUCUUUCCACCAAUACUGAAAUGGCUUUCAGCAAAGCCUGUGGGCACUGUGGUUUCCACAGCAGUCCUCUCAGGAGGGGCAGACACUGACAAAGCAUUUAGCUUCAGCCUUGUGACUGGUGACAUGCUGAAGCCAACCAGUUGGCUACCUACAUGGAAAACUAUGAGACUCACCUCCCCCCUUACCCUUGUUUUGUAGAGAUGCCUGCCUGAAAUUCCACUUCUGGGUCCUUAUCCCUUUCCUACAAUUAUGCAGCUUCUUUCAAUUGCAGAGAAGGGUCAGCCUGCAAAAACAACAGGUCCACAAACUAAAACGUUGCUUGCUAAUAAUUUUAUGAAUCAAUCCACAAGAAGUGGGCUCCUAUAAUUCCCUAUUAUUUAAAAGCAUUUAUUAUGCUUUUAAAUCACUUCUGAAUUUUUUUAUUUUUCUUGAUUCCAGUUAGUAGAUGGAAAAAAAUAUAUAAGCUCUAAGGUGGUAAAUGAUUAGAGUUUUUUCACACUGCUGAGUGAAGGGUGUCACAUUUAAUGCAGCUCUGCAUAAAACCAGGCUUCAAAGGUGGCUAAUCAUCUAGUUGUCAAUUCAUCAUUUAGGUAGCAGAGAAAAUAAGCUUCACAUUAAUGUGUAUUUACCCUUUAUAAAUAUUGGCAAACAUUAUCUCUUCUAAAAAUUCUUCUCUGAAUUCCCAGAAUGAAGAGUUUUUCUCUGACCUGUGUUCCCAGGGCAGCCUGAACUUUCCAUGGUCACUUACCAAAAUAUAUUAAAAUUGUGCCUCUGUCUCUCCAGUUGAGAGAGAACAGCCAUGUCUCACUCAGGACCCCGACUUCUGGAAUUUGAGGAAGGAAUCUUUUUUAGGGAGUAUUACCAAUGGAGCUUCAGCAACCAGGCUACAAUGCAAUGGCAUGAUCUCAGCUGCAACCUCUGUCUCCUGGGUUCAAGUGAUUCUCACGCCUCAGCCUCCUGAGUAGCUGGAACUGCAGGUGUGUGCCAUCACACUUAGCUAAUUUUUGUAUAUUUUGUAGAGAUGGGGUUUCACCAUAUUGCCCAGGCUUGUCUUGAACUUGUGAGCUCAAGCAAUCUGCCUUCCUUGGCCUCUCAAACUGCUGCAAUUACAUACAUAAGCUACCAUGCCCAGCCAAGCAUAGUCUUUAAUUAUACUUCAACAUGCUUUGCAAAAUGCUCGCUGCAUGAUUUACAUAUCAAUGCCAGCAAUUCAUUUUUUGUCUGUCUUUCUGAAUGUAUAUCCGUCUGACUUACUCUUCCUUCCUGCCACUGAGCUCCUUGCUGUUAAAGAUACUGGUUUUGCAGAAAGGUAAGAAAAUGAAAACCCAUUUUCCAUUGGGUCAUCAUGAUUUUUCUCAUGUAUCACUUUUAAUUAUCCCCUGGUACCAAGGUUACUUUUGAAGCAUUUUGUACUAUUUUCCUAUGGGAUGCAGUAGGGAAACAGUAUACAAAUAGGCACAUUAAGCCUCUUUCCCCAACUUGUUAUACGCCCAGGAUGGGUAUUUCAUAAACUUAUGUGGGGAUUUCCUUUCCCUGGACUAGAAUGAUAUGUGGAUGACUUGAAGGCUGAAAAGUUGGUGUCCAUUUUAAACUUUUAUGAAUAUCUAUUUAUUUUAGUUUAGUUUUUGAGAUGGAGUUUCACUCUUGUUGCCCAGGCUGGAGUGCAAUGGCAUGAUCUCGGCUCACUGCAACCUCCAUCUCUUGGGUUCAAGCGAUUAUCCUGUCUCAGCCUCCCAAGUAGCUGGGAUUACAGGCGUGGACCACCAUGCCCAGCUAAUUUUGUAUUUUUAGUAGAGAUGGGGUUUCUCCAUGUUGGUCAGGCUGGUCUCGAACUCCUGACCUCAGGUGAUCUGCCCACCUCAGUCUCCCAAAUUGCUGAGAUUUAAGGUGUGAGCCACCGCAACUGGCCCAUGAAUAUCUAUUUUAAGAACAUCUCUUUAAAGCUGCAAGGGAGACGGAUGGGGAAAAGGAUCGCCGCUAUUCAUUCAUAUAACUCCUUUAGCAAAACAAUAGCCCUUAGCAAAACAUUAUCCUUAGAAGGAAGUUUAGUUAUCAUGUUUUGUUACUCAGCAAUGACCCAAGUGAUUUAUCAAAGUACUCUGUUCAGGUUCAUGCAGUACUUACUUUGAGAUAAACUCUCAUAGAUAAUGUUUUCUCGAUCUCCUUUUUUAUUGAUGUUUCAGUGUUCCUUACAGACUGAUGGUCCAUGUAACAGUCUGGCUUGCUCCUUCACCUGGUCUGCCCAUACCAAUGAUCACAUCUAUAGGACUUGCACCUUACUAAACAGUGAGGAAGUCAAUGUUAUGGACUAAGGACACAGUGUUUCUCUUGGCUCUGUACUAGAGCUAAGGAUGAAAAGAGAUAUAUUAGAGAUAGAAUGUAUUAUUUGUUACCCUAUUUAAAUAUUGGCUUUAACAAUGAGGUAAUAAUAUUAUUAGUUAGUGAUUCAAAAAUGCUGUUCUGUCUCCCUUGCAAAAAUAUAAGUGUGAUAAACUUGGAGAAAUAAUCAGGUAUUAACUAUAUUUCUCUUUCACUUAAAAUUUAGAUCAUUGCUUCCUACAUUGUUUUCCAGUUCCAAAUACAUUAGUAGAUAGUGGCAAUUAUCAUGGAAUGAGAGGGGAUCCAUGCUAGUCCUUGAAAGUGUAAACUCUGGUUUAAACACCCCUCUAAGUUGCAACAUAAAUAGCUAUGAACUGGGGUAAGAAGGUAAUUUGAGUAAAAAGCUGUUCCUCCUUAUGUGCAAACCGCCAUUUAAAUGGUCAAAGGAAUUUAAAAUGGGUAAAAAAAAAAAAGCAUAAAAGCCAAAAUAAAGGAAGAUACCAUUCAUAUUUUAGAUACCUCAAGGAAUUUCUAGAGUUGGAUUAAAAGAAGGCAUGGCUCAAAUCCAUCCUUCCUGAUAAAGAAAGAUGCCCUGCAUUAUAGCAGUGAGUAAAAGAGAUUCUGGCAAAAUCCCACUAGCAGCCCUAACAGACAAGCACUAAAGGUGAGAAGAGACAUAUUAGAGAUAGAAUGUGUCAUUCGUUAUCUCUUUUCAAGCUAUGAAUCUACAGCAGGGAUCAGCAAACUUUUUCUGUAAAGGGCCAGAUAGUAAAUACUUUGGGCUUUGCUGACCCAUGCUGUCUCUGUUGCAACAAUUCAUCUCUGCCAUUUUAGCAUAAAAGCAGCCUUAGAUGAUACAUAAAAGAAUGAGCAUGGCUGUGUUGCAAUGUAACUUUGUUUAUGGACACUGAGAUUUGAAUUUCAUAUAAUUUUUAUGUGUCAUAAAAUGUUAUUCUUCCUUUGAUUUUUUUCCAGCCAUUUAAAAUAUUUUCUUAGCUUGCAGGCCAUACAAAAAUAGGUGGCAGGCAAGAUUUGGCCUACCUGUUGUAGUUUGCCAAUCCCCAACCUACAGCAUUAGAAAGAAGCUUCGUUUAGUGGCCCCAAGGCAUAUGGAAUAUCUCAGGAAGCACUGUAAAAGGCGUGGCACAUAGCAGCACCAAGAAUAAGACCAGUGACAGUUACAUGGUUUGCCUGGCAUGGAAACAUAGUCAAAUGCAAAGCUGGGAAAAGAUAAUCUAUUGCACAAUAACCUCAGCAAACAUACACACACAUUUCACAAAUUAUUUCUGAUAAACAAUCUACGCAGGAAAGAGAAAGGCAAGAUAAAUAUACAAACAGACGGAACAAAUGCACAUGCUACCUAUUAAAAAAGAAAUACACAUAUAAGAAAAAUUUCAGCUUCAUUAGAAAUAAAAGGAGAGUACAUUGAAACAGGCUGAUGCCAUUUUUUACUUAUCAAAUUGAUACAAAUUAAAUAGAACAUUAUUAUCUAGAAAGACUCCUAGGGACACGGUCACUCUCAUAUCACUGGUUGUAGUCCAUAGUGUCAUACCAUUCAACAAGCUAUUCUAUUGAGAGCAAUUUAUCCCAUUGAAAUGAACAGUGAUAUAACACAGAUUCAAGUGUAAGAAUAUGCAUUAUUGCAGUGCUACUACUUAUGAAAAAAUAGUUGAAUCAAUUAAAUGUUUAAUAGUACAGAAUUGGUUAAGUAUGGUCUAUCCUAUAUGAUAGAAUGUUAUCUGGCCAAUAAAAUCAUUUACAGUUUUUAUUUAACAUGAGAAACUGUUUAUGAUUUAUUCUAGGUGAAACAAGCAGGUCAUAAACAAUAUAUACAGUAUGAUCCCAGGCAUUUAAAAAUGUUGUGGUGUGUGGGUAUGUAGUAUGUGGUAUGUAGUAAGUGAGUGCAUAUGUUUAUAAAACAAUGAACAAAGAUUGGGUGGAUAUACACGAAUAAGUUAAUAGUAGUGUUCUCUGUGUGUGAGACCAUCUUAGAGAGAGAUCCCUAUAAAGAUUAUUGUUUUGCAUUUUAUGAAAUAGAAUCAAAUGGUAUGUAUUCUUUUGACUUGCUUUUUUGUGUUUUCAAGGUUAAUCAAUGUUGAUGCAUUUAUUUUUAUUGUUAUAUGGCAUUCCAUUGUACAACUAUACCACACACACUAUUAUGAAUAGCACUCCUGUGAACAAUAUUGUAUUAAUACAUGUCUCCUAAUGUACAUGUGCAAGACUUUGUCUAAGGAAUAUUCCUUUGGAGUAAAAUUGAUAAGUUGAAAGGAAUAACUACAUUUAAUUUUAUUAGGUUAUGCCAAAAUGUCUGCCAGAUUUUAUACUCCCACUGGCAGUAUAAUGUUUGUUCUUCCAGUUCGGAAAAAUGCUUAGCCAUUAUAUAAUUUAAUAUUUCUUGUUUCUUUUUUCUUACUAUUGUUUGUCUGAAACUCUUAUUCAUUGGUUAGACCUUCACAUUAUAUCCUUUAUGUAUCUUAAUCUUUUAUAUGUUUCAUUUUUUGUUUUUUUGUUCUGUUUUGUUUUGUUGUUGUUAUUUUUGUUUUUUGUUCCUCUGGGUCACAUUUUGGGUAAUACUUUUGGCUCUCUCUUCUCUACUGGUUUUCUCCUCUGUUGCAUAUAAUCUGAUUUUUAACCAUUUGUUGAAGGUUUAGUAUUACUAAUUACAUUUUCCAUUUCUCUAAGUUAUUUUUUGGUAAUUCUCUAAAUAUGUUUAAUCAUUCCUCACAUCCCAAGUUUCUUAUACUUUGCUCAAGUUUAAGCCUUUUUUAAUUCUUUGAAAAGUAAUAAGGCAUUAUUAUUUUAUGCAAAUAUUGGAUACUUUUAAUAUAUAAAGUCUUUGUAGCUCUGAUGCUUCUAUUCGUUUUGUAUGCUGACUUUUGUUCUUUGCAUUUUAUUUCUUUUUUAUUUUGUAAUCUUUCACUUUGAGCAUAUUUUCCUGGAACUUUACCUGUGGGAGUACUUAGUGGUAUGAAUUGAGUUUUCUGAGAGGGUUUACAUUUGAUUCUGCUAAUUGUUUUAGUUCACUGCAACUCACGACCACUUUAAACUAAAUUAUCUUUAUUAUGUGUUUUGUACUACAAAGUAGCAAAAACUGGGGCUGAAAAAUCCAUGUGAGGAUUGAUUUAUAUAAAUAUUUUCUGGAAAGAGUUUUUUUCUUUUGGUUUAUGAAUCAAGUCAACAAAGGAAGUCUCCUUCCCCUUCUCUACUAGGAAAUUUAUUUAUCCUUCCACUGAGGGUGUAAUUCUUUGAGGAUAUAGUUUAAGUUGUGGACCUCCUGUUAAACUUUUAAAUUUGCCUACAGUAUGUAUUAGUUUGCUUAGGCUGCCAUAACACAAUCCCGUGGACUGGGUGGCUUGAACAACAGAAAUUUACUUUCUCACACUAUUGGAGGCUGAAGUCUGAAAUCAGGGUGCCAGCAUGGUCAGUUUCUGGUGAGGACCUUCUUCCUGGCUUGUAGUUGGCUGUCUUCUUGGUAUACCCUCACAUGACAUGAGGAGAGAGAGGAGAAAAAAGAGAGAAGGCAGAGAGAGAAAGAAGAGAGAGAGAGAGAGAGAGAGAGGAGAGAGAGAUUGAGAUCUUUCUCAUAAAGGCUCCAAUCCUAUUGGAUUAGAGAUCAAUUCUUAUGACAUCAUUUAACCUUAAUUACCUCCUAAAGGUUCGGUCUCCAAAUACAGUCACAUUAAGGUUAGAGCUUCAACAUAUGAAUUUGGGGUGACACAAUUCACUCCCCAGCACACCCUAAGCUUCAAUCUCCUGAUUCCUAUGCAUUGCACAACUAUAAAAUGGAAACUUAAAGUUACCAAGAUGUCACAGAAGCCUUUUAUUCAUGAUGAUAGCUGCAUCCAGUGCAAAUUAUGUCCCACAGUUUUUGCUCUCCUUCAUGUUUGGCCUCUUCAAAUUUCUUACUUUUUUGGCAGUUCAAAUAUCUAUUUAUAGAGCCUGAUUUUUGGUGGAAUUUUCUAUCACAUCAUUUAUUUUAUGUAUUUUUUUCUGCAAUUUUUGGAGAUGUUGACCACAGAUAAUGUCCUUGCCUGAUUAACUUCAAUAUCUAAAUUUUGUCUGAUUGUCUUUUUUCUCUUUCUUGGGUUUAAAAAAAUUGAUACAUAAUAUUUUACAUAUUUGUGAGGUACAUGUGAUAUUUUGUUACAUGCCUAGAAUAUGUAAUGAACAAAUCAGGGUAUUUAGGAUAUUCAUCAAAUUGAAUAUUUAUUAUUACUAUGUGUUGGGAACAUUUCAAGUCCUCUUUCUCUGUUGCUUUGAAAUAUAUGAUACAUUAUUGCUAACUAUAGUCACUCUGCUACAGAACAUUACAAUUUGUUCUUUUUAUUUAACUGUAUGCUUGUACCCAUUAACCAACUUCUUUAUAUGCCUACUCCCACCCACACACCCUUCCCAGCCUCUGAUAUCUGUCAUUCCACUCCCUACCUCUGUGAGAUAAAUGUUUUUAGCCUCCCACAUAUGAGUGAGAAAUUUGUCCUUCUGUUCCUGGAUUAUUUCAUUUAACAUAAUGACCUCCAGCUCCAUCUAUUUCUUAGUUUUCAGUUAUACAAACCUAUUUAACAACAUGUCUAGUAAGUUUUUACUGAAUGCUAGACAUUAUGUAUAACAAACUAUAGAUAUAAAAACUGUCCACAAUUUUUAUCCCACAAGCCCUCAUUUCUUCAGUGGUUUUCUAAUGACUUUUUAAGAGAUAAAUUUUGCAUUUAUUGAAUUUUUUUUCUUGUUCUUAAAGUAUUUGUCUGCUAUAAGUAAUUCAAUUUUACACAGAUGUAGAAGUAUCAAUAAUGCAUUUAAAAUAUACUGAUUAAUAUCUAAUUCACCAUUGUGAGUUAUUUUAUCUGAAGGGUUAUUCUAGAUAACCAGACUAACAUACUGCCAGAAGUCAAUUUAUAAACAUUUUUCUGAAGAGAGUAUUUUUGUGGCUUGUGAUAUUUUCUGGAGGAAUAGAGACUGGCAGUAAAAAGACUCAACUAGAUGAAAAUAAAGGAUCAAUAGGCUGAUCUGCCAUACUCUCAAAUUUUUAUUCUCAAAAUUUACUCUCAAAUUUUUAAUAUGGGCAUAUUUUAUAAGAGCAUAUAAAAUAGGCAUAAAGAAGGUGCACAAACAUAAAUAUACACUCAAUUAAUUAUCAUGAACUAAGCAUAUCCAUGUUGAUACAACCUUGAUCAAGAAAUGCAACAGUACCUCUACCCAAAAAGCCCUUUCAUGCCCUCUCCAAUGGCUACUGUUCCUCUUUUCUGAAGGUAACCACUCUGCUGGUAUCUUAUACCAUUAUUGCACAAAAUAGUCCAAUAUAUGAAUAAAUCACAACUUAUUGAUCCAUUUUGAUGUUUAUGAGCACAUGAUUAUUUGUGGGGCAAUUAUGAAUAAUGUUUCUGUAAACAUUCUAAUACAUAUUUUUUGAUAUACUUCUGAAUUUCAGAUUUGUAUGUGCUUAGGAAUGGAAUCAUUUGGUCAUGUGUUUAUGUUCAAGUUGAAUAGGUAAUGUUAAGUUUUUAAAUAGUUUGAUUUAUAGGACCACAGGCAGUAUAUGACUGUUUCAGUUACUUUACAACUUCACAAAUGUUACUUGGCAACAUUUGAUAUUAUCACUCUUUUUAAUUUUAGUCAUACUAAUAGGUGUGUGAUGGAAUCUCACUGAGGUACAAAUUAGUAUUUCCUGAUUUCUUUUCAUAUGCUUACAUUUUAAUUAUUUUAAUAAAAAGACUAUUUCUACUCUCUAAAAUAUUUAUUAUUGAUAUCUGUGGAAAUUUCCAAAAAUGUGUUUGAUGUCUAUUGGUGAAAUUAAAAAAUUUUUAAUGUAUGUGAUGUUUGUCUUAAUUUUCUUUUUGUAUUCAUUUCUAAUAUAACUGCAUUAUAAUUAGAAAACAUUGUAGGUGGUACAAAUGUUUGUUAUUUAUUGAUAUUUAUUAUGAAAUGGUUUAUGGCUUUUGGUUGCUGUAUUUCCUAGAUGCUUCUUGUGGACAGAAAAUAAAUUUUUUAAAUUGUUGGAUCCACUGUAUAUAAAAUCAGCUUGUUAAUUUUGUUCACAUCUUCUCUAUCCUUCUUAAUUUUUGUUAGUUUGAUCUAUCAAAUACUGAUAGUGUGUUAUAAUCUCUCACUAAGUUGGUAAAUUUGUGACUUUUAUCUACAAUUAUCAAUGGUUAUUAUCAGAAUGGUGAGAAUAUGAGUGACAAGUGUUUCUAACUGGAUUGUUUUUGUGCUUCUUGUGCUUUAGGUGUGAGCACAUGUGCAUUUUCAGACGCCAGGGUGGACUGAGUAGACUCCUGCUCUGCUAUGGAGUACUGCAAGUAAGGGAGGGCGUAGGCCUCUUUGGGGAGGUUUCCUGGACAGAGGAAGCACCAUGGAUGGAAACUACUUCUGGAAUGGUAACCCAACAAUAGCUCCUGCGUAUUCCUAGUUUUCAAUGUGAAUGGUGCCUCCUUCUGCCAACCACACAGAGCAAUACUGCCAGCCCAAACGCACAUUCCCAAUUCCUGUGUACUACCUGCACGUGUAGUCCUGGCUGGGUGUGGUCCAGCUUUCCUCUUUUCUGCCUCAGCACAGAAAGCUGAAAGAGACAGCUUGAAGGUCAGUACAGGACCAGAAUCCAGAGGGUCCAGAUGAUCUAUUCCAACAUGUAGAACUGAAGCUGUGGAAAACAGGAGUGUGAAGCCAAAUUCCAGGCAGAUACCACUGCAAUGAAUGUUGCAAUGAAUUAUUCACUUAUUCUUUUAACAAAUAUUUCUUGAAUUCUUUCCUUUGGCAAGACACCAGGGGAGGAUGUGAUGCCCCAAGAUAAUUUAAACAAUUCCCUGAGUGCUGAAUUCCAAGCCUCAAUAAAUUGUUCACACAGACAAAUAGCAGCAGGGCUUUCUCUGAUGAAUAAAAACAGAGUAAUGUCUUUGUUUUUUAAAAAAAGAAAGAAAGAAAAAACACCUAAAUUAUAUCCGGCUUUUCUGAUGUAGCCUCAAGAUUACAUGGCAAACAAUUAUUUAACAGAAUGAGAGAACUCCAAUGGUCUCAUCCACCCUGUAUGGGCUGAUUUUAGAAGACAAUAAACAGUGACAAUUGUAAAACUUAAUGGAAUGGAAUGGAAUGAAUGAGAUGCCAAGAAACAUUCUCAGUCUUCAUUUAUUGCUCUUGCAACAGCCUUUGAGUUAGGGCCAUGUUCAUUUGUACCAGAUAUGAUGGCUGUUGACAAACUUUAACAGGAGUUUCUUAUUUCUGCUUGAGUGGUUUGUCUACAACUCAUCUCCCUACUUCUACUCUGACUCCAUCCUCUGGAUUUUUCUCAAAACAUGGUUCUGGUCACAUCACCAUUUAGUCCAACUCAUCAACAGAUGAUCAUUGUCUAUAGCAUACAACUUCUUAAUCAUUAUUUCUGCCCACCCUUAUCUCACAGUUCACCCUGUUACUUGUCCUGUAGCCUGAGAGCACAUGUAACAUACAAGAUACCGUCUUUCUUCACUACCUUGUCCACAUACGCUCCCAUUUCUCAUUCAUUGCUAUAACCUCUAUGGAAUGUCCUAUUAUCCAUCUCUUUAUUUCAGAUCCCUAAGUAAUCAACAGGCCUGUGAUGAAGUUUGAACCCAGUUCAAAUCGACAGAUAUUUAAGGAGUGCCCAGGCUUGUAUCAAAGAGUAUGAUGGGCUCUGGGGAUGUAAAGAUGAAGGAAUGAGAUAGGUCCUUCUCAAGAGAAGCAUACAGUCUAGAUGGAGAGACAUGCACAGAACAUAUCCAGGUGGCAGAGAAGUGCCAUCCUGACCCUAUAGCACAGAGUGAUGCGAUGGCAGGUGCUUCAGAAGCUCAGGAAGAGUGCACCUUGCUCAGCCUGGCUGAAGGUGUUGCUAGAAGGAAGUAUCAGGGCUUGGUGUCAGAUUAGGAGUUAUCCAUGGUACGGAAAGUAGAGAGGGAUGUUGUCAUGGGCAAGAGGAACAUGAACAAAGAUUGGAACUUUCUAUGACAUCUCUUCAACCCCCUUUUAUUUCAGAACUGAAUUAUUUCACCUCAGAUGUAAUGUUUCAUUACAUUUUUUGUUGUUGCUUUUACACUGUUACAAUACUAACCAUAAUCAGCCUUAUAUUUUGGUUCCUUGAUUACAGUUAUUAUUUAUUGGGUACCUGGUAAUUUCCAGGCCCUGUGCUAAGCCUUACUAAAAGUUGCCUCAUUUAAUCCUCCCCACAACCUUAAGAGGCAGGCCGUAUUGUCAUGCUCAUUAUGUGGAUGAGGAAACUGCAGCUCAGGGAAGUAAACUACACAAGGUUGUACAGCUAUUUUACUGUGCACAACCAUAAGUUAGAGCACUUGAUAAAUGGUCUCUAUGGUUCUGCAGACAGAGAUUCUGAUCUAGUAAGUUUCAACUGGGACUUGUAUGUGUGUUUUAUCAAAUCACUAAGGUGGUCGAGAGCCAUAUUUAAAAGAUUAGCACUGUUCAGAAGGAAGAGACCUAAGACUUAUACCCAGACCUGUCAGCUUCCAGAACCUGUUUCUAGACUUGCCUGCUCUUGGAGAAAGGGAACAUGUUACUCACUGUUGUAUCUUACAGAGUCACUGACAAUGCAGCCUUGCAUGUUAUAAAUGUUAAAAAAAAUUUUGACUCAUUGCUGGGAUUAAAGUAGUGAUUCUCAGCUUUUUGAAAGAAGACAACUUUAUCUCUCAGUAAUGAAAUAAUUUUGCUUUUAUUUCUAAUUGAUAUUUACCUUAAUGACAAAGUUAAAAGUUUUUAUGAUCCUGAGUUUUCUCCAAAUUGGAUCUUACAAAAUUACCAUUCCCUUUUAUGCUGUCAAUAACUUGACACGUAUUUCCAGUGCAUUAGUCCUACUGAACUAGUGAUUUUCCUAAAACAUAAAUCUGGCCACGUCACUCCACUACUUAAACCUUUUCUAUAACAUCUCAUCACGAAAAGAUAAUAGCCACCAUGUUUAGCCUGAGGUCAAAUAUUAUCUGAAAUCUCACCCCAUAUCCCUCUCCAGCCUUUUUCUCACUAUUCCCACCUUUGCGCAAUGUGUACUAGAACUCAAAAAUAUAUGUAGUUUCUCAAAUUUGUGAAACUGUCUCCUGCCUCUUUGUCUACUCUUUCUUUGACUGGCAUGCCCUUCUCUGAUUUAAUCAACUGACAAAUGCCCAUUCCUCCUUUAAGACAUAAUUCAAGUAUCUCUUUCUCUGUGCCUAAUUCAUUGAUUCUUUUAAGCAAAAAUGAUUGUUCUUUCUUUGUUCCAUAUGUCCCUUAUAGCACAUUUUGUUUAUAAGCCUGUAGUCUCCAUUAAAGUAGUAACUCUUUGAGAGAAUUCUGCCUUUUCUCCACAUCAUCACUGUCUAAUAUAAUGCUUGGCACAAAAGGUUGAGUUGCUUUCUGUUGAGUAGAUUAAUAGAUGAGUGAAGAAAUGAGUCAAGGAAUGAAAGAAUGUGUGAAUGAAUCAAGGUAUCUGUCUUUACUUCCCAUCUCACAUUGAAUCCAUCAGGAAAUUUAUUAGCUCUACCUUCAAAAGAUUUACAGAACAUGAUUAUUUUUCACCAUCUCCACUGCCACCAUCCUAGUCCAAGCCACCCUAACCCCCAGCCAAGAUUUCUCUAGUAGCUUCCUAAUUGUUCUCUGUGCGUUGAUCCUUGAUCACCUCUAAAGUCUAUCUACUCCCAGCAUGGAAGCUAGAUUUAUCCUUUAAAAGUAGAAAUCAGAUUAAAACUCAGCUUUGGUUUUUGUUUCAUGCAGGACAAAAGCUCAAGUCCUUCCAAUGGCUUACAGGCUUUAUAUAACUACAACCUCCCCUUUCAGGCUCCUGCUCUGUCCCACUUGCUUUCUUCUUUUUUUUUUUUUUUUUUUUUGUUUUUGUUUUUUGAGACGGAGUCUCACUCUGUCGCCCAGCCUGGAGUGCAGUGAUGCGAUCUCGGCUCACUGCAAGCUCCGCCUCCCGGGUUCACACCAUUCUCCUGCCUCAGCCUCCCGAGUAGCUGGGACUACAGGUGCCCGCCACCACGCCUGGCUAAUUUUUUUUGUAUUUUUAGUAGAGACAGGGUUUCACCAUGUUAGCCAGGAUGAUCUUGAUCUCCUGACCUCGUGAUCCGCCCGCCUCGGCCUCCCAAAGUGCUGGGAUUACCGCUUGCUUUCCAAUCCCAUUUCUUACCACUCUUCCUACCACUUUCUACCACUCUUGCUCACUCUACUCCACCACACUGGUCUCCCUGCUGUGCCCCAUCUAGCAGGCAUGUUUCCAUCCAUCGUAAGGCCUUUGCAUGAGCCGUUACUGCUGCCCCAAAUGCUCUUUGUUCAUUGUCAGAAUGGCCCACUCCCCUACCUCCUUCAAGUCUGUGCUCAGAUUGUACCUUCUUGACUACUCUUAUUAAUGUAUUCUAAUUAUCUGGGUAAUGACUGCAACAUAGUAGACACUCAGUAAAUAUAAUAUAUUUUGAAUGAAUAAAUGAAUGCAUGACUACUCUCGAAUGUAAGCUUCUUAAAUGCCCUUGUAAGAAUUUUUUUUUUUUUUCGAGAUGGAGUUUCUCUCCUGUUGCCCAGGCUGGAGUGCAAUGGCGCAAUCUCGGCUCACUGCAACCUCUGCCUCCUGGGUUCAAGCGAUUCUUCUGCCUCAGCCUCCUGAGUAGCUGGGAUUACAGGUAUACGCCACCACGCCUGCCU